CACGUAGGGGGCAAGCGUUGUCCGGAAUCAUUGGGCGUAAAGAGCUCGUAGGCGGCUCAGUAAGUCGGGUGUGAAACCCUCAGGCUCAACCUGGGGACGCCACCCGAUACUGCUGUGGCUAGAGUCCAGUAGGGGAGUGUGGAAUUCCCGGUGUAGCGGUGAAAUGCGCAGAUAUCGGGAGGAACACCAGCGGCGAAGGCGGCGCUCUGGGCUGGUACUGACGCUGAGGAGCGAAAGCGUGGGUAGCAAACAGG
rnacentral:rRNA from 1 species